GGCUGUAAGUACGGUUCAUCAUGAUUCACCGCGAGUUUUUUGGCGCUGUGAGUACGUUUCCAUCUUUCCGCGUUAAAACAUGUUGAAUUCUUUUUGACGGUCCUCGCGGAAGCUUGCGGAUCUUACAGAACUUCGUGGAACGUCGGCAGGCAAUCACGACGACUCACGGUGCCUAACUCCGCAUCUCACCGUGAGUCAAACCGCAUAGGGCUGUUUUGAGUUUACUGAAUCGUACAUGUUCAGGAAGACUGCAACAAAUGGAGACUCCACAAACUUGGAUGAGUUCACGGCGUCAGUGACUAACUACAUCAGAGCCUGGCUUGUGGAAAGUAGUGUCAAUUCAAUUCAAUGUAAUUCAUCGGACGUGGAAGUUAUCUGUUGAUUUACAAGGAUUAAAGGCAUCCCCUGAAUGUUAACAGAAGUGACAGUGGGUCCAAGUCACGUCAACCAGGAUCGCCUUUCAUUUACAUGCAGCCUUCUUUAAUAUGUUUGCACCAUUCACAUGUUUUUUUUUUUUUUGUUUUU